rnacentral:rRNA from 1 species
CUACGGGAGGCAGCAGUGGGGAAUAUUGGACAAUGGGGGAAACCCUGAUCCAGCAAUGUCGCGUGUGUGAAGAAGGCCUGCGGGUUGUAAAGCACUUUCGGUUGGGAGGACUGCUUCUAGCACUAAUAUUGUUGGAAGUUGACGUUACCUUCAGAAGAAGCACCGGCUAACUCCGUGCCAGCAGCCGCGGUAAUACGGAGGGUGCAAGCGUUAAUCGGAAUUACUGGGCGUAAAGCGCGCGUAGGCGGCUAGAUCAGUCGGGGGUGAAAGCCCCGGGCUUAACCUGGGAACUGCAUCCGAUACUGUCUAGCUUGAGUACAGGAGAGGAGAGUGGAAUUCCACAUGUAGCGGUGAAAUGCGUAGAUAUGUGGAGGAACACCAAUGGCGAAGGCAGCUCUCUGGCCUGAUACUGACGCUGUGGUGCGAAAGCGUGGGGAGCAAACAGGGUUAGAUACCCACGUAGUC